UGCCGAAACCCGGGAUCGAACCAGAAACUUUUAGAUCUUCAGUCUAACGCUUUUCCAACUGAGCUAUUUCGCC